UCCCUACCAGGUGGUAGUCCUGGAAGUUCGUCUGGGAAAACAUCUAGAAACUCUCGGACUACUGGUACUGUGGCUGGUUCCCUAACCUGACUAUCUAGCUCCCUCACAUGAGCUAGAAACCCCUGACAACCCCUCCUAAGCAAACGACGAGCCUGAAGGGCUGAAAUCAAACCUUUGGGUGUACCUCUCCUGUCUCCCCUGAAGACACACUCUGACCCAUCCUGGUCUUUGAGACUAACUACCUUCUCUCGACAGUCCAAGGUCGUACCAUAUGCAGAUAACCAAUCCAUCCCUAGAAUGACAUCAAAAUCUGUCAAGUCUAGAACCACAAGGUCAGCUGGAAGGCAUCUACCCU
rnacentral:lncRNA from 1 species